rnacentral:rRNA from 1 species
AAGGCACACCCGGAGAACUGAAACAUCUUAGUACCCGGAGGAAGAGAAAGAAAAUUCGAUUCCCUUAGUAGCGGCGAGCGAAACGGGAAGAGCCCAAACCAACAAGCUUGCUUGUUGGGGUUGUAGGACACUCUAUACGGAGUUACAAAGGACGACAUUAGACGAAUCAUAUGGAAAGAUGAAUCAAAGAAGGUAAUAAUCCUGUAGUCGAAAAUGUUGUCUCUCUUGAGUGGAUCCUGAGUACGACGGAGCACGUGAAAUUCCGUCGGAAUCUGGGAGGACCAUCUCCUAAGGCUAAAUACUCUCUAGUGACCGAUAGUGAACCAGUACCGUGAGGGAAAGGUGAAAAGCACCCCGGAAGGGGAGUGAAAUAGAACCUGAAACCGUGUGCUUACAAGUAGUCAGAGCCCGUUAAUGGGUGAUGGCGUGCCUUUUGUAGAAUGAACCGGCGAGUUACGAUUUGAUGCAAGGUUAAGCAGUAAAUGUGGAGCCGUAGCGAAAGCGAGUCUGAAUAGGGCGUUUAGUAUUUGGUCGUAGACCCGAAACCAGGUGAUCUACCCUUGGUCAGGUUGAAGUUCAGGUAACACUGAAUGGAGGACCGAACCGACUUACGUUGAAAAGUGAGCGGAUGAACUGAGGGUAGCGGAGAAAUUCCAAUCGAACCUGGAGAUAGCUGGUUCUCUCCGAAAUAGCUUUAGGGCUAGCCUCAAGUGAUGAUUAUUGGAGGUAGAGCACUGUUUGGACGAGGGGCCCCUCUCGGGUUACCGAAUUCAGACAAACUCCGAAUGCCAAUUAAUUUAACUUGGGAGUCAGAACAUGGGUGAUAAGGUCCGUGUUCGAAAGGGAAACAGCCCAGACCACCAGCUAAGGUCCCAAAAUAUAUGUUAAGUGGAAAAGGAUGUGGCGUUGCCCAGACAACUAGGAUGUUGGCUUAGAAGCAGCCAUCAUUUAAAGAGUGCGUAAUAGCUCACUAGUCGAGUGACACUGCGCCGAAAAUGUACCGGGGCUAAACAUAUUACCGAAGCUGUGGAUUGUCCUUUGGACAAUGGUAGGAGAGCGUUCUAAGGGCGUUGAAGCAUGAUCGUAAGGACAUGUGGAGCGCUUAGAAGUGAGAAUGCCGGUGUGAGUAGCGAAAGACGGGUGAGAAUCCCGUCCACCGAUUGACUAAGGUUUCCAGAGGAAGGCUCGUCCGCUCUGGGUUAGUCGGGUCCUAAGCUGAGGCCGACAGGCGUAGGCGAUGGAUAACAGGUUGAUAUUCCUGUACCACCUAUAAUCGUUUUAAUCGAUGGGGGGACGCAGUAGGAUAGGCGAAGCGUGCGAUUGGAUUGCACGUCUAAGCAGUAAGGCUGAGUAUUAGGCAAAUCCGGUACUCGUUAAGGCUGAGC